UAAGCAUAUCAAUAAGCGGAGGAAAAGAAACCAACAGGGAUUGCCUCAGUAACGGCGAGUGAAGCGGCAACAGCUCAAAUUUGAAAUCUGGCCCUAGGCCCGAGUUGUAAUUUGCAGAGGAUGCUUCUGGCGCGGUGCCUUCCAAGUCCCCUGGAACGGGGCGCCAUAGAGGGUGAGAGCCCCGUCUGGUUGGCCGCCAAGCCUGUGUGAAGCUCCUUCGACGAGUCGAGUAGUUUGGGAAUGCUGCUCUAAAUGGGAGGUAGACCCCUUCUAAAGCUAAAUACCGGCCAGAGACCGAUAGCGCACAAGUAGAGUGAUCGAAAGAUGAAAAGCACUUUGAAAAGAGGGUUAAACAGUACGUGAAAUUGUUGAAAGGGAAGCGCUUGUGACCAGACGUGCGUCGGGGUGUUCAGCGGGCGUUCUCGCCCGUGCACUCGCCCCGGCGCAGGCCAGCGUCGGUUCGGGCGGGGGGACAAAGGCGUUGGGAACGUAGCUCCUCCGGGAGUGUUAUAUCCCAGCGUGUCAUGCCCCCGCCUGGACCGAGGUUCGCGCUCCGCAAGGACGCUGGCGUAAUGGUCCCCAGCGGCCCGUCUUGAAACACGGACCAAGGAGUCGAGGUUUUGCGCGAGUGUUUGGGUGUCAAACCCGCACGCGUAAUGAAAGUGAACGCAGGUGGGAGCUUCGGCGCACCACCGACCGAUCCUGAUGUUCUCGGAUGGAUUUGAGUAAGAGCGUAGGGCCUCGGACCCGAAAGAUGGUGAACUAUACGUGAAUAGGGUGAAGCCAGAGGAAACUCUGGUGGAGGCUCGCAGCGGUUCUGACGUGCAAAUCGAUCGUCAAAUUUGCGUAUGGGGGCGAAAGACUAAUCGAACC
rnacentral:rRNA from 1 species